rnacentral:rRNA from 1 species
GUGCCAGCAGCCGCGGUAAUACGGAGGAUCCAAGCGUUAUCCGGAAUCAUUGGGUUUAAAGGGUCCGUAGGCGGUUUAGUAAGUCAGUGGUGAAAGCCCAUCGCUCAACGGUGGAACGGCCAUUGAUACUGCUAAACUUGAAUUAUUAGGAAGUAACUAGAAUAUGUAGUGUAGCGGUGAAAUGCUUAGAGAUUACAUGGAAUACCAAUUGCGAAGGCAGGUUACUACUAAUGGAUUGACGCUGAUGGACGAAAGCGUGGGUAGCGAACAGGAUUAGAAACCCUGGUAGUCC